UACGUAGGGGGCGAGCGUUGUCCGGAUUUACUGGGCGUAAAGCGCGCGUAGGCGGGAGGUGAAGUCCGGUGGGAAAGCCCACGGCUCAACCGUGGAAGAACGCUGGAAACUCACCUUCUUGAGGGCGGCAGAGGGAAGUGGAAUUGCUGGUGUAGCGGUGAAAUGCGUAGAUAUCAGCAGGAACACCCGUGGCGAAGGCGGCUUCCUGGGCCGCCCCUGACGCUGAGGCGCGAAAGCGUGGGGAGCGAACGGG
rnacentral:rRNA from 1 species